AGGAUGGCCUUGUCAUGACAUUAGAAAACUUUCUCGGUGUAUUUUUCAUCCUCGGCGGCGGAGUGGCACUUGGCCUCCUUGUGGGAUUCAUCGAGAUAGUGUCCCGCGCCUGUGCACGGAGUUCUUCAUGUGGCAAGGGUGAAGAUGCAGCCCCAUCAGAAGAAGCUCAGAUACCCGAAAAGGAGUACGUCGACCAACCACUGGUUCGUGCGUAAUUGGCCCCACAGCGGAGACUCAAAUCAGCGAUGCUGCUGAAGCCCUUAUUCAUCCUUUGUCUUGACACAACUUUACUUGGAAGUGUUUUAUAGUCGAGCAUUUCAUCCACCACUUUCUUUAUAGUCGCUUUACUUGUUCACACCAGGCGGGCUUAUUCUCUCAUUUGACUCGAAGAGUGGGCCAUAUGUUAAGAGUAUUACAGUGAAGUUAGCCGUGAAUUGCUAUUUGGAAAAAUAUUUUGUAAAUUAGAUUGCAAAGUUUCUG